rnacentral:rRNA from 1 species
GCCGUUACAAACGAUGAAGCCCAGCUUGCUGGGUGGAUUAGUGGCGAACGGGUGAGUAACACGUGAGUAACCUGCCCUUAACUCUGGGAUAAGCCUGGGAAACUGGGUCUAAUACCGGAUAGGAGCGUCCACCGCAUGGUGGGUGUUGGAAAGAUUUAUCGGUUUUGGAUGGACUCGCGGCCUAUCAGCUUGUUGGUGAGGUAAUGGCUCACCAAGGCGACGACGGGUAGCCGGCCUGAGAGGGUGACCGGCCACACUGGGACUGAGACACGGCCCAGACUCCUACGGGAGGCAGCAGUGGGGAAUAUUGCACAAUGGGCGCAAGCCUGAUGCAGCGACGCCGCGUGAGGGAUGACGGCCUUCGGGUUGUAAACCUCUUUCAGUAGGGAAGAAGCGAAAGUGACGGUACCUGCAGAAGAAGCACCGGCUAACUACGUGCCAGCAGCCGCGGUAAUACGUAGGGUGCGAGCGUUAUCCGGAAUUAUUGGGCGUAAAGAGCUCGUAGGCGGUUUGUCGCGUCUGUCGUGAAAGUCCGGGGCUUAACCCCGGAUCUGCGGUGGGUACGGGCAGACUAGAGUGCAGUAGGGGAGACUGGAAUUCCUGGUGUAGCGGUGGAAUGCGCAGAUAUCAGGAGGAACACCGAUGGCGAAGGCAGGUCUCUGGGCUGUAACUGACGCUGAGGAGCGAAAGCAUGGGGAGCGAACAGGAUUAGAUACCCUGGUAGUCCAUGCCGUAAACGUUGGGCACUAGGUGUGGGGACCAUUCCACGGUUUCCGCGCCGCAGCUAACGCAUUAAGUGCCCCGCCUGGGGAGUACGGCCGCAAGGCUAAAACUCACAGGAAUUGACGGGGGCCCGCACAAGCGGCGGAGCAUGCGGAUUAAUUCGAUGCAACGCGAAGAACCUUACCAAGGCUUGACAUGUUCUCGAUCGCCGUAGAGAUACGGUUUCCCCUUUGGGGCGGGUUCACAGGUGGUGCAUGGUUGUCGUCAGCUCGUGUCGUGAGAUGUUGGGUUAAGUCCCGCAACGAGCGCAACCCUCGUUCCAUGUUGCCAGCACGUCGUGGUGGGGACUCAUGGGAAAACUGCCGGGGUCAACUCGGAGGAAGGUGAGGACGACGUCAAAUCAUCAUGCCCCUUAUGGUCUGGGCUUCACGCAUGCUACAAUGGCCGGUACAAUGGGGUUGCGAAACUGG